AGUGAACGCUGGCGGUAGGCCUAACACAUGCAAGUCGAACGGCAGCACAGUAAGAGCUUGCUCUUACGGGUGGCGAGUGGCGGACGGGUGAGGAAUACAUCGGAAUCUACUUUUUCGUGGGGGAUAACGUAAGGAAACUUACGCUAAUACCGCAUACGACCUACGGGUGAAAGCAGGGGAUCUUCGGACCUUGCGCGAUUGAAUGAGCCGAUGUCGGAUUAGCUAGUUGGCGGGGUAAAGGCCCACCAAGGCGACGAUCCGUAGCUGGUCUGAGAGGAUGAUCAGCCACACUGGAACUGAGACACGGUCCAGACUCCUACGGGAGGCAGCAGUGGGGAAUAUUGGACAAUGGGCGAAAGCCUGAUCCAGCCAUACCGCGUGGGUGAAGAAGGCCUUCGGGUUGUAAAGCCCUUUUGUUGGGAAAGAAAAGCAGCAGGUUAAUACCCCGCUGUUCUGACGGUACCCAAAGAAUAAGCACCGGCUAACUUCGUG
rnacentral:rRNA from 1 species